rnacentral:sRNA from 1 species
CCAUCAGAUCAAGUCAUUACAGUAUAGUAACACAGGAGACAUGAUUCUUGUUGUAUCUGGAAGCUCUCAGGCCAAGGUGAUUGACAGAGAUGGUUUUGAAGUAAUGGAAUGUAUAAAAGGAGACCAGUAUAUUGUGGACAUGGCCAACACCAAGGGUCAUACAGCAAUGCUUCAUACUGGCUCAUGGCAUCCCAAAAUAAAGGGAGAAUUUAUGACUUGCUCAAAUGAUGCGACUGUGAGGACGUGGGAAGUUGAAAAUCCAAAGAAGCAAAAAAGUGUGUUUAAACCACGGACGAUGCAAGGCAAAAAAGUCAUUCCCACUACGUGCACAUAUAGUAGAGAUGGAAACCUCAUAGCAGCUGCCUGCCAGAAUGGAAGCAUACAGAUCUGGGACCGAAAUUUGACUGUUCAUCCUAAGUUCCACUAUAAACAGGCUCAUGACUCGGGCACAGACACUUCUUGCGUGACUUUUUCCUAUGAUGGUAAUGUCCUUGCCUCUCGUGGAGGUGACGAUUCAUUAAAAUUAUGGGACAUCCGACAAUUUAAUAAACCACUUUUUUCAGCCUCGGGUCUUCCCACCAUGUUCCCAAUGACUGACUGCUGUUUCAGUCCAGAUGAUAAGCUCAUAGUCACUGGUACAUCUAUUCAAAGAGGAUGUGGCAGUGGCAAACUUGUUUUCUUUGAGCGUAGGACUUUCCAAAGGGUGUAUGAAAUAGACAUCACAGAUGCGAGUGUUGUUCGCUGCCUGUGGCAUCCAAAGCUGAACCAGAUCAUGGUUGGAACUGGAAAUGGAUUGGCUAAAGUCUAUUACGACCCCAACAAGAGUCAGAGGUAUUUCAUAAGUAUUGCCUGUUUUAGAUGGAUGACAACAACUGGGGGGAGGGAUUUCCCUCCCACCCCCGCUUUUAUUUAUUUCCCACUUUGAUGGAGAUCCACCCAUUUAGAAAAUGCAGCUGGAACAAAGUAAAGCCUCAAACUCCUGGUAUUGUGCUUUAAAAAGGAUUUGAAUAUUGCCCUUGAUCCACACUGAAUUCAAAGCGAAAGUUUCCUGGGAAUUUGCAGUUGUUUAGCUGAAAUGUUGAGUGCAAGGGGGAAAAACGUUCUGCCCACUUUGCAUACCACCCUGGACAGAGGCAUUAGCAGUGAUACAUGUAAUAGAUUUAACAAAGCAGGGAACUAACCACUUACAGGAAAUGGAAUCGGCUUGUCCAUUUUGCUUCUUUCUUUUUUGGCUUCUAGCAGUUACUGGUUUGGAUGUCUCUGUCCGCAGAAAGGGACAGCACAGAUACGUUUCCCCUCCACCCCCAUGCCCACCCAAGUUUCAAACUUAAGCAUACCACUGUAUUUCAAAAGUCUGAAAACGUAACUAGAGGUUCAGUCAUUUCCUCAGUUAUUUCCGUUUUGCUUAGGCACAAAGAUGGAUAUGUGUCAUCACCCAGAAAAGAUGGUUUUGUUUCUCUCUUUUAAAGUACAGUGACUGAAAAGCUCUUUCUUUAGAGUAAGACUUGGUUAACUAGCAUUAAAAUUCACAUGUGAAAUUUACUGGGGUCCCAUAUAAACCUGUUUUAAGGUCCCACAUCCUUUGAGGAAAGGAAAGCCAGCCUCUAUUAAUGAAUAUUCAUUGGCCAUAAUUUUGCUCUGAAUAGAAGCAGACAGCCCCGUCUUCCUUCAGAGCUUCCUGGACUAGAGUUGGAAUCCUGGCCUUAUACAAUAAAGUAUAUUUAUGGUAUUUGAAAACAAAUAGGAUUUUAUUUGUUUUUUAAAAAAGAAAUUAAAAAUGCUAAUGUACUUAGGAUGGGAGUCUGUUUCACUUGAGAAAAUGAUGAGCCUCAUUUGAUAGCACCCAUUUAGAAGGCACUUUCUGUGGAAGCUUUGCUUUAAGAAAUUUACUUAUUUGUAUUUGCUUCUCUUGAAAAGGAUAACUCUGUACUACUAAGGAGAAGUGCAAUGUUCUAAGCACAUUUUUGGUUAAUCCCACACAUUCUUGGGCCAUAGCCCCUCGGCAACACUGCCAAGCCAACUCAGUUCCAGACACUUGUACUCUUGUAUUUGAAAAGUGGACAUAUGCCAUUUGGGGUGUAGACCACCCAGGUUGCUUUAGUCUGAGACAUAAACUAAAAUUUUAACCCUGUGACCUUUAGAGUGAAAAGGUUGGGUAAUUUUAUUAUUUAAGAUCUUAAAAUUUCACAUUAUUCCUAUAGGUUUUGUAAACUUGUGUCCUGUUGCCCUGUUACCUCUCCAACCCUCUUGCUUGUUAAUAACCACUGACUGACAGACUUGCUUUUCCAUAAGUUUAAGCUAUUAUCACUGAGAGCCCAUCUGUUGCCAUCCCUCAGAAAGUCAAGUACUUGUGUAGAUGGAGUGCAUGCACAGAGUAUGUUCCUGAAAGUAUCUCAUGUUUUCAACAUGAAAUUUUCUGUUUCUAAGACCAAGUAAAGAAAAUAAUUUGCUUUUACACCCGUUAGGGGAGCAAAAUUAUGUGUGGUUAAAACCCAGCGGAAGGCAAAACAAGCUGAGACUCUAACUCAGGACUACAUCAUCACCCGUAAGUCGUUAACAUGCCUCUCAAUCAUGCAUCUCUCUUCUACUCUCAUGUGGUUUUGAUUGCAUAGCUUUAGAGACAGAGAAAGCCCUCAGAAUUCAGGCAUAUAUUACAAAAUUGCCCAUUCAUGUGGAUAGGACUACGAGUCAUGUAACAGCUAACCUCUGUGGCUUCUGUGACUCUUCACAGGGACAGGGUUAUUUCAUGCAGCUUUCAACCCAAAAGGGAAAAGCCUGUUCGAGUCCAAUACAUUACUUUAUAGCAGUUUUUUCAAGAGUAACAGUCUGUUCCAAGUGUGAACAAGAAAGAGUGCUGGUCUUGGAAUCAGGAGGCCUGGGUUUGUCCAGUUCCACCACUGACUGGCAAUGUGAUGUUGAACAACUUAACUUUUAAUCAGGGAAGUGUGGCGACCAGAGGAAGGGUCUCUUCCAGCUUUCUCUGAAAUUCUAUGACCAUGUGCUAGACUGAUCCACAGGAAUUUGUAUAUAAAAUUAACUACCUGGGGUAUGAGUAGAAAGCUUACUAGGGCAGAGUGGUUUCUCUCACGUAUGUCACACAACCUCAUUAAUCUGGCAGAUGUGUGUUCCCAGAGCCACAAUCUCAAACCUGCAACAGGUGACAGCUAGGAAAGAAAUAAUGGAUGCUACAGCAAUUAUCAUUAGCGGAUGGCCCUGUGGACUUUAUCAGUGACUCAGUCUGGAGCCCAGGGGGCGCUGUACUGCUGGGUUUUCUCACUGGUGGUGGGUCUCAUAUGAGACCAAGUCCCUUGGAGCUUAUGACCAGUAAAGAGAUCCCAUGACACUUUUUGCAAGAGUAGAAGUGUUAAAGUCAGUGUCAUAACUAGUCUAGCUCAUGUAAUUACAUGCGGCCUACUUAAAUUCCUCCAGUCGUUUGAAGUGAAAAGCUAUUUUCCCCCUCCUAAAAAUACUGUUGUGUUGUGUUGCCCAACUGAGUGACGGGUGGCUAUGUUUCUCAGCUCCCCUGACUCAAGGCAGGCAUGUUUUACUGGUGAGUGUUAUGGUCUGGCCUGAGUUGGCAGUAUAGGUAGAAGGUAGGAGGGGAUACUGGAAGAGGUUUUGAGGUGUUAUAGACAUUUUAUUGAUAUUAUAAAUUCCCUUUAACCUUUCCCUUCCUUCCCCUGGUCCCCUGGGAAAAGUUUCUUUUAAAGGGGGUUUAAUCUGCACGUAAGAGUCAAAAGAAACUGCUAGUACUUUUCUGGGGCAAAAAAAGGGAGUUAUUUAAUACUUCCCCUAAUAACUCUUUCCUUUUCCCCUAGAAUAUUAUACUGUUUUCCUUUUUAAAUUCUUACAAUCUUUUAUAUUCUGAAAUUUAAUUUUGACAUUGAGUAAACAGUAACAGCAAUUGAACGCAUAUUACUUUGGUUUUUAUUUUCUUAUUUUGCUACCAUAUAGCAGGAGGGAUAAGGCCCCAUUAAGUCCCCAUGCCAAGAGAUUUAGGCACCCCUUGCAUUCAUGGCAACCUUUAUCCCAGUUUCAGUGGGAUAAGUGUUCCUCCCUUCCGGUUACUCAGUGUUGUCAACUCCUCCUGAGAGGUGGUCACAUUUCAGAAACGUGUGAAGUGAUUCCAGUGUUUAUGAGACAUCUGAGGAAACUUCAGGGCUGACAGCAAGCUGUUGGCAUUAUUCACAUUUGGGUCCUGUAAGAAAUAAGAGGCAGUCCCAAUAUGUGUUUCUUUUCAAAACCACGGUAAUUAAGUUUUAACUGCUACCCAUGGUUUGGGAGAUGGGGAGCCUCACCGAUGUUUCCAUGACAAUAUUUGACAGUAUUUCCUGAGUGCUGUUAGCUGCCAGGAGAGGUGAGCAGUGAGUCUGGUCUCAAGCAAAAUUGGCUAAUUGGUUACAGUAAGACUGUCUUUUAUUAUCAGAUCAAGACUGUCAUUAUGACUUCCAUUUCAUCUUUCAGUUAGUCAUGCUUUAACUAUGUUUUGGAUGGAAAGGUUAUUGUUAUAAUGAAAUUUUUCAAAUGUGACUUCUUGUAGCUCAUGCCUUGCCUAUGUUCCGUGAGCCCCGCCAACGGAGUACAAGGAAACAGCUGGAGAAGGACAGAUUGGAUCCCCUGAAGUCGCAUAAACCUGAACCUCCUGUAGCAGGCCCAGGUCGUGGUGGCCGAGUUGGAACCCACGGGGGCACUCUCUCUUCCUAUAUUGUGAAGAACAUUGCUUUGGACAAGACCGAUGACAGUAAUCCUCGGGAAGCCAUUUUGCGUCAUGCCAAAGCAGCAGAAGACAGCCCAUAUUGGGUUUCUCCAGCAUAUUCCAAGACUCAGCCCAAAACCAUGUUUGCCCAAGUUGAAUCUGAUGAUGAGGAAGCAAAGAAUGAGCCAGAAUGGAAAAAACGUAAAAUUUGAAGAAUCUCAUUUGAGAGCUGUUUGCAUGAGUGGGAGGGGUAUGGGACAGGUUUGGGUUUUUUUUUUUUUUAUGCUCAUGAAAUUAAAAAUUCAUUUUUAUGAA